rnacentral:hammerhead_ribozyme from 1 species
AUCCAGCUGAAGAGUCCAAAGUAGGACGAAACGCGCAUCCUGGAU